GAAGAGACACAGCUCAGGGAUUGUGCAUCUGCCUUGCAUGCAAAAGGUCCCAGGUUCAGUUCCUGGCAUCUUCA